rnacentral:rRNA from 1 species
GACGAACGCUGGCGGCGUGCUUAACACAUGCAAGUCGAACGAAGUGGCGAACGGGUGAGUAACGCGUCAUCAACCUGCCCUUCAGAGGGGGACAACAGUUGGAAACGACUGCUAAUACCUCAUACUGAAGGUGGGGAUUGCGUCUGAUUAGCUGGUUGGAGGGGUAACGGCCCACCAAGGCGAUGAUCAGUAGCCGGUGUGAGGGGGUGGACGGGCAAAUUGGGAAGGGAGAACGGCCCAGGACCCUAAGGGGGGCAGCAGUGGGGAAACUUCGGAAAUGGACGAAAGGCUGACGGAGCAACGCCGCGGGAGGGAUGACGGCCUUCGGGUUGUAAAGCUCUGUUAAGCGGGACGCGGUACCGGAAGAGAAAGCCACGGCUAACUACGUGCCAGCAGCCGCGGUAAUAC